rnacentral:lncRNA from 1 species
AGCUUUGCCCAGGCAGCUUCAGAGGACAGUUGGAUAUUUGUAAUAUUGGAGGCACGGUCAAGAGGAACAUGGGCUAUUUUAGGCUAAAGUCAUUUUACCUUUAAAAUUCAAGUAGAGGCAAUAAAUAAGAUUUGUGUGGUAGGGAGAAGAGUGUAUUUCUUAUUGGUGGUACACCCUGUUUGCUGAAGUCUAGCAAAACUAGUUGAUUAUUCAACUCAUCCCUGAACUUUCUAUAGAUAAAAUCAAGAUGGACAAGAUUAAAGAGAGAAAAAGGACUCAAUGGAGUUGUGAAGGAAGAAGCUGUUGGACUUUGAGAUGGGCAUUUGUGGAGCCUCUGUAGAGGCUGAUAAUCUCUCCCAUCACCCAAACCAGCUCUUUUUCCCAGUUACUCCAUAUCUGUCAGUGCUUGCACCUGUCCCCUAGGUGAGAAAUUUGAGAUGAUUCUUUAUCGAUUUCCGCUAUCAUCUUAAAUAUGAAAUAAAUCAAGGCCUAUAAUUCUGUUCCAUUUGUAAUGUCUCUCAAAUUUUCCUUCAUCUCCACUUCUACUGCUGUCAUCCUUUCCCAGUCUUCAGCAUACGUCAGCAAUUCUGGAGUAGCUUCAGACUGCACGUUCUCCUUCUCCAAUUUCUCCCCUACUGUUUCCAGCUUACUGUUUCCCAAAUGCCACUUAACUGUUUCUCUCAGAGAACCUGAAGCUACUGCAAAUAACCACAGACUAUGAGCCUUUUCAAAACUGGGGCUUUAUCAUACUCACUUUUGUAGCUCCAGUGUUUAGGAAAGUGGCUGACACCUAACCCAAUUUUAGCCUUGCAACAACUCCAUGAAGUUUUUGAAUGGGAAAUUGAGGCUCAGGGAGGGAAAGUGACUGCCAAAGCCUGCAUAGCUAGUAAGCAUUAGAGCAAGACUCUGUCAUAGGCAGGUCUUUUUUUUUCCUAAACCACAUGAACUCAGCUGCACCUUGCUACCUCCACUGUCAGGAAUUGGAGACUUUCUCAAUCAAAUUCACUUAUUGUACCUCUAGCACUUUUCUGCAAUUAGUGCUAUGUCAAGUGGUAUAUCACCUGCUGCAAGAAAUAUAUUCGAAAAUUUGCCAGUUGAAUGUCAGAGAAGAGCUGAUAAAGACCAAAGGAAUUGAAGGUGGACCUUAAGCAGGGCUUGCAGGUUGAAAUAGGAUUUGGUCAGCAGGAUACCAGGGUGGAGGGCAUUCCAUAUCAUGGAGGCAGACAGCAAAAGCAUUGAGACAGAAAUGAAACAAUUUUUGCGUAAAUGAUAAAGAAAUUAACUUAUCUGGGGAAAUAGUUCAUGUAGUCUUUCUGGAAAUAAUCUUCCUUUAAAGUAAUGGUUUCACUAGUGCCCUGGAAAUAAACCCCGUAAUUUCAUGGAUUUAGGUGCUAAGGACUGGAGAGAAACAGUCUUCUUUCUGUAUGGCAAGAGCAGAGAGAAGAAAGCUCACUUGACUGUGGCAUUCCCACACUCAGGAUUUUGAAAUGAGCCUGGAUUUUGUGAGGAUUCCCAUGGCAAAUCCUAGAGUACAGGAACCAGAUUUGUAUCUGAACACGGCUUCAGUUUUCAUGAUAACUUUAACCUUCAGAAACAUUUUCACCCCAACUUUAGAAAAGAAGCAUAAGAUGAAUUGGCGAAGGGUUUGAACAUAUUAUUGCAAAGAGAACAUUUUUUACUGGCCAAUGAACUUCGUAGCCAAAAACAUGUUGUUGAAAGGGGCCUGGCUGAUGGCAAACAGUAAAAUGAGACAUUUGGAAUCAUAAACCCCCAAAUAAUUAUCACCUGUAAAUCAAUGUCAUAAAAUUAAAUAGAGGCAUUUAAAAAGUAUCAGGCAAGUUAAAAAAUGGCAAAGAACAGAAAAUUGCAUUUCAGUAAAUAAAGUAAAUUUAUUAAAAA